rnacentral:rRNA from 1 species
AUUGAACGCUGGCGGCAUGCCUUACACAUGCAAGUCGAACGGUAACGGGCCUUCGGGUGCCGACGAGUGGCGAACGGGUGAGUAAUGCAUCGGAACGUACCUUUCAGUGGGGGAUAACGUAGCGAAAGUUACGCUAAUACCGCAUAUUCUGUGAGCAGGAAAGCAGUGGGUCGCAAGACCUUGCGCUGAUUGAGCGGCCGAUGUCAGAUUAGCUAGUUGGUGAGGUAAAGGCUCACCAAGGCGACGAUCUGUAGCGGGUCUGAGAGGAUGAUCCGCCAGACGGGAACUGAGACAAGGUCCAGACUCCUACGGGAGGCAGCAGUGGGGAAUUUUGGACAAUGGGGGCAACCCUGAUCCAGCCAUGCCGCGUGAGUGAAGAAGGCCUUCGGGUGGUAAAGCUCUUUCGGCCGGGAAGAAAUCGUAUGGGCUAAUACCCUGUGCGGAUGACGGUACCGGCAUAAGAAGCACCGGCUAACUACGUGCCAGCAGCCGCCGCAGUAA